rnacentral:rRNA from 1 species
CCUACGGGGUGCUACAGUGGGGGAUAUUGCACAAUGGGGGAAACCCUGAUGCAGCGACGCCGCGUGUGGGAAGACGGUCCUCUGGAUUGUAAACCACUGUCCCCAGGGACGAAGAUGACGGUACCUGGGGAGGAAGCUCCGGCUAACUACGUGCCAGCAGCCGAUGUAAUACGUAGGGAGCGAGCGUUGUCCGGAAUUACUGGGUGUAAAGGGAGCGUAGGCGGGGAUGCAAGUUGGGUGUCAAAACUACCGGUGCAACUGGUAGUCGCACUCAAAACUGCAGCUCUGGAGUGAAGUCGAGGCAGGCGGAAUUCCUAGUGUAGCGGGGAAAUGCGUAGAUAUUAGGAGGAACACCAGUGGCGAAGGCGGCCUGCUGGGCUUUUACUGACGCUGAGGCUCGAAAGUGUGGGGAGCAAACAGGAUUAGAUACCCUAGUAGUC